AAAAACAGAAUUGGAAGAAUCAAAAUCUCAACCUAAAAGGAUAAAAAAUUGUUGUUCGAUUUGACGAGUGAUACAAUCCAUUUGAGGCUUGAUAGUGGUAACCUUUUAUUGGUUGUCAAACAUUGUUUUGUUAUUUUAACGCUUAGGCCAAAGCAAUAUCCAAAGAUCAAAGUAUUACUCAGGCACCAUUUUGUGGCAUAUUGUUGCCAAGAAGUUGUUAACGUCAUUGUGUAGUGCCUUGGCGCAAUCAUAAUGCAUCUGCAGGCAAUUAUAAACGCUUUUAUUAUUUGCAGGUUUUCAAUUUUUAUGUCAGCAGGGUUCGGUCACUAUCCUUGCGAAUGGCAGGAGAGCAUUGUAAAGGCUUAGUUCUAUUCAAUUGUGGUUGUGUGAGGGGAAACCAUUGUAUUUAAUAUGCGAUGACAGAUGACAUUUCAAAAGAUAAAUUAUAUUUCUGCAGAUGAGAGUUCAUUGUAGUGCCAUGCAUAGGAACUUAAGACAAUUCCUCUGUCAUAACAUCGAGUGUGGCAAUCCCCAUUACACCCAAUUAAGAAAAUAUGACAUAUCCGCCACCGCAUGUUCUCCAAAACACGAGAUGGGAAAUAUGUGGGAGGAACUCACUUGCAAAAAGGACCAAUCGGAAGCGCACAUGAAUGCCGAGAGGCCACAAUAGAGGUUGCGUAGGAAAAAAAUAACGAGCUCUUUUCAUGUUGUUUUGUGUCUUCUUGCUCCCUUUCGCCUUUUCUAGGUCAUAAUUUCACAGCUUUUCUAAAAUACGACCCUGUGAAGAUAAUCAGAUGCGUAUAAUCUUUGACCAGCUAAGAAGGCACAUUUAGGACACGUUUGGAAGUAGCAACAGUGGUGCAUAGCAACAUCUUCCAUCUCCAACCCAAUGCUGAGUGAUUAAAGAGCAACUUCUCCUACUUAAUAAGUGACUAAUCCUCGUGCCCUUUUGCUCUGUCAGUUCAAACAGAUGACCCAGCAAGCCCGGGAGAUUCAUCAAGGUAAGAUUGCUUUGCUUUUUCUUGUUGGUUCAACAAGGAGUCCUCCAGAAUCAUCUUUUGUUUUAUGUAAAAAUAAAGAUGGAGAGCACAGACCGUUAGUGACCUACA